rnacentral:lncRNA from 1 species
GCGGCCUGGUGCGCUCGCUUAGCGGGCGACGGAAUCAGACGGACGUGGACGCCCCCGGAGUGGAAGCCGAAGCAGGAGUUGUUGUUGCUGAGGGGCUGCCGCAGCCGCCGCGAGCCUCCGGACAGACGCCAGAGCGAGGAGGGCGCUACGCGACUUGGCAAGAUGACCCAGUUCCUGCCGCCCAACCUUCUGGCCCUCUUUGCCCCCCGUGACCCUAUUCCAUACCUGCCACCCCUGGAGAAACUGCCACAUGAAAAACACCACAAUCAACCUUAUUGUGGCAUUGCGCCGUACAUUCGAGAGUUUGAGGACCCUCGAGAUGCCCCUCCUCCAACUCGUGCUGAAACCCGAGAGGAGCGCAUGGAGAGGAAAAGACGGGAAAAGAUUGAGCGGCGACAGCAAGAAGUGGAGACAGAGCUUAAAAUGUGGGACCCUCACAAUGAUCCCAAUGCUCAGGGGGAUGCCUUCAAGACUCUCUUCGUGGCGAGAGUGAAUUAUGACACAACAGAAUCCAAGCUCCGGAGAGAGUUUGAGGUGUACGGACCUAUCAAAAGAAUACACAUGGUCUACAGUAAGCGGUCAGGAAAGCCCCGUGGCUAUGCCUUCAUCGAGUACGAACACGAGCGAGACAUGCACUCCGCUUACAAACACGCAGAUGGCAAGAAGAUUGAUGGCAGGAGGGUCCUUGUGGACGUGGAGAGGGGCCGAACCGUGAAGGGCUGGAGGCCCCGGCGGCUAGGUGAGCCUCGGUGGUACCAGAAGAGGAGGGGCUGAUGUGAACAUCCGGCAUUCAGGCCGCGAUGACACCUCCCGCUACGAUGAGAGGCCCGGCCCCUCCCCGCUUCCGCACAGGGACCGGGACCGGGACCGUGAGCGGGAGCGCAGAGAGCGGAGCCGGGAGCGAGACAAGGAGCGAGAACGGCGACGCUCCCGCUCCCGGGACCGGCGGAGGCGCUCACGGAGUCGCGACAAGGAGGAGCGGAGGCGCUCCAGGGAGCGGAGCAAGGACAAGGACCGGGACCGGAAGCGGCGAAGCAGCCGGAGUCGGGAGCGGGCCCGGCGGGAGCGGGAGCGCAAGGAGGAGCUGCGUGGCGGCGGUGGCGACAUGGCGGAGCCCUCCGAGGCGGGUGACGCGCCCCCUGAUGAUGGGCCUCCAGGGGAGCUCGGGCCUGACGGCCCUGACGGUCCAGAGGAAAAGGGCCGGGAUCGUGACCGGGAGCGACGGCGGAGCCACCGGAGCGAGCGCGAGCGGCGCCGGGACCGGGAUCGUGACCGUGACCGUGACCGCGAGCACAAACGGGGGGAGCGGGGCAGUGAGCGGGGCAGGGAUGAGGCCCGAGGUGGGGGCGGUGGCCAGGACAACGGGCUGGAGGGUCUGGGCAACGACAGCCGAGACAUGUACAUGGAGUCUGAGGGCGGCGACGGCUACCUGGCUCCGGAGAAUGGGUAUUUGAUGGAGGCUGCGCCGGAGUGAAGAGGUCGUCCUCUCCAUCUGCUGUGUUUGGACGCGUUCCUGCCCAGCCCCUUGCUGUCAUCCCCUCCCCCAACCUUGGCCACUUGAGUUUGUCCUCCAAGGGUAGGUGUCUCAUUUGUUCUGGCCCCUUGGAUUUAAAAAUAAAAUUAAUUUCC